GGCGUUGCCAGCUCCUCCCUCCUGCAUGGUCGGCUGGGUUCCACCAGCUCCGCUAGUGUUAACAGGAGGAAGUGUCCCCCUGGUCUGCAUCUCCCUGGUGAUCUGGUUCUCAUCCGAAUGCAGACAGCGGAAAGGGAGGGUUUUCCACAAGGAGGUCGGCAAGUAUUUCUAGAAAGAAAAGAGCUUCUCUUCUAAUUAGAGCACCAAAGACUACGCUACAGUCAGAUUUUACUUCACUUUGAAAAAUCUACCCGUCUUGGUACAUACGCAGCUGCUUCGUUAGUUGUGACUCUGCACAGCAUGAAGUUUAUACCCACCUGCUCCGAUGACAGACAGGCAGGUACAAACAAAAAUUUCUCCGGAAAUUUUUGACCAAGUGAGGAGACUCAGGAGAAGUGAUUGAUGAACACAUGCUGUGUUUUCCUAUUAUAUCCUCCUUAUAUUUUAAUACAAUUCAGUAAAAACAGGAAUAAUUCGGUACUUCCUUGACUCUCAGUGCAAAUGCCUUUGUUGUUAUAAAAAAAUGAUUGCCUUGAAACUUGCCCCAGUCACCGGGAUGGCCGAGUGGUUAAGGCGUUGGACUUAAGAUCCAAUGGGCUGGUGCCCGCGUGGGUUCGAACCCCACUCUCGAAAUCGCCUCAACAGGCAGUAGUGUGUGAAUGAUUCUCUACCACAACCUAUCAGAUUGCCAAUAGAAGGAAAAAUCCCUCAUAUCCACCGCUCACAUCCAUGGCCUACUCCAGGAUUUUCAAUUCCACCAGGAACUGAACCUCUGAGGCUAUUUGACCGGAAGGCCACAGGUAAGAAACUCUAGUUCUAGGUACCUCCCAGGAAAUAAGAGCCACUCCCCAGGAUUUUCAUAGUUUCCAAAUGAUUGUACAAGAAAAGCCCAACCCUUAGCUAGGGCUGUCUCUCACACACUCUGAAGAGCAUGGUUGAGUCCUUCUCAACAGAGUUUAUCUUGUUUUUUCCAGUUUGAAAUGUGAAAAUGAUCCCUCAGGGAGUUUUAUUUUGCAUUUAACUGGUUAUAUUGUCCUUGAGCACCUUUUUAUAUGUUUAAAAGCCAUUUGUAUUUCCUUUUCUGUUACAUGCAUAGUAUUCUGUGCUAAUUUUUCUACUUAGUUGUUAGGUCUUUCUCUUAUGAUUUGUAGGGUCUCUUUAAAUAUGGCUUGAUUAAACUUUGUUUUGACAUGAAUCACAAG
rnacentral:tRNA from 1 species